GCCAGCAGCCGCGGUAAUUCCAGCUCCAAUAGCGUAUAUUAAAGUUGUUGCAGUUAAAAAGCUCGUAGUUGAACCUUGGGCCUGGCUGGCCGGUCCGCCUCACCGCGUGUACUGGUCCGGCCGGGCCUUUCCUUCUGGAGAACCGCAUGCCCUUCACUGGGUGUGCCGGGGAACCAGGACUUUUACUUUGAGAAAAUUAGAGUGUUCAAAGCAGGCCUUUGCUCGAAUACGUUAGCAUGGAAUAAUAGAAUAGGACGUGCGGUCCUAUUUUGUUGGUUUCUAGAACCGCCGUAAUGAUUAAUAGGGAUAGUCGGGGGCGUCAGUAUUCAAUUGUCAGAGGUGAAAUUCUUGGAUCUAUUGAAGACUAACUACUGCGAAAGCAUUCGCCAAGGAUGUUUUCAUUAAUCAGUGAACGAAAGUUAGGGGAUCGAAGACGAUCAGAUACCGUCGUAGUCUUAACCGUAA
rnacentral:rRNA from 1 species